AAAGCAGUCGUCUAAUGGUUAAGACACCGGUAUAGGAGUUCCGGAAUUACCGGAAGAGGUCAACCGGGACUUACUUCCUGAGGGAACCGGGGAUGUUGGUUCGAAUCCAGCCUGCUUUU
rnacentral:tRNA from 1 species